AGGCGCCAGGCUAGUAGAUUUUUCGGGGGGCGGGGAUGCCAUGCUCCAUGCCUUGUUAACUGGCUGGAGCUCGUAACCAUUCCUGUCAACUGUGCCUUCAGCCGAACACUUCAAAGCAAGUUAGGAACGUGAAUUAAGCCUGUGAGUGUCGCCAUGGUGUGGGUAACUACGCCAGCUGCUCCUACCAGUCAGAUGGGCACCCUUGGCAGGAGGAGGUUAAGGGCAGCGAAUGCCCCCGCCUGUACUGACUCAGCAGCAGCACCACCUGGGGAACUUUUCAUCACCACCGUCUCCAUAGCUCUGCCCCUGGCUUGUCCAAACAGCAGCACUGCAUUUCAAGUGGAGUUGUUGAAAAAUGAAUCAAGGCCUACAAAAAAUAAUGGAUCGGAAGUCUGAACAGGCAGGGUUCAAAUUUCCAGUGAGCCUCCUGCUCAGCCUCCCAAGUGCUGUGGUUACAGGCAUGUGCCACCAUGACCAGCUUCUACUGAGGAAUUCUUAAUGAGAAGUGGAAAACUGAUGACCAAAGCUUCGGAACUUGGCGUGAAGUGAUGGCGAACUCAGGUGCUGGAACAACGUUUACUUGUUAGAGCAGUGCAGACGCCUGAGCCAGGUCUUCUAACUGUACAGAGUGUCAUCAUUGUGGCUUCCUCAGUGGGAGGCCAGACAGGGCAUGCAGUCAUUAUUGUCAUUCUUAAGUUACUUUGUUUUUUAAAAGGUAAUUCAUGCACAUAGCACAGAAUUUCAAAGGGUACAGAAGACAUGGAUGAAAAGCAGCCUUCCGUUUGGGUUCCCAAAUCUUUCAUUUCUCUCCUAGAAGCAACACUGCCUGCCGCUGGCUUCUAGUGUGUUUUGCCAGAAAUAUUCAGAACAGAUGCUCUCUUUCUUCCUUUUUGAAUGCUGAAUCUCUCACUUAAAACUGUGACACCGCAGAGUUCUUCGAUAAAAUGAUUGUCCAGAUUAUACAACACUCAGAUAUUUGAAAUGGUUUUUAGAAACCUUUUUACUCACAACAACCUGCAGCAAAAGGCGACCACAGCUUACCCUGCAGUGGUGCAGCAUGGGCCUGGGGUCUAUGGUUACCUUCCUAAGAUCUUUUAGGUAUUGACAUAUGACACAAUGACCGAACGUUUCCUGAAGGUGUCAGCUGAAGCCAAAGCCACAAUGCGGGGAAAUACCUGAACUGUGAAGUCCUCUAACUUCGGAGCCAAGACUUAGAUUUAAAACCUGAUUCAGUCAUGUGUGGCUGCACAACCCUGACACUCACUAAUUCCUCCGUUGACUGUUUUUAUUAUUUGUAUAAUAAUAACCCGAGUUGCUCAAAGAAUUAAAUGAGAAAACAAACCC